rnacentral:rRNA from 1 species
AUGAGAGGGCCGGCCGCGUCCGGGGGGCGGGCAUCGGCGGCGGCCGUCUUGUUCGGAGUUCUUGUUUUGGUGUCGUUGGUCGUCGUGGUGGCGGAGAGGCCGUCCACGCCGGCGAUCCGAGGGCGGAGGAUGCUGCUGGCUGGAGACGGAGGAGAGACCAGGAUGACUCUGGAGGAUUUCCGGGCUGAUGAUCCUUUCCAGGACAGCGCGAGGAGGGUGCCCAAUGGCCCUGAUCCCAUCCACAACAGGGGCGCUGGCAAGUCCGGAAGAUCGCCGGGGCGAGAGUAG